GCCAGCAGCAGAUUUAUGACAAUUCCAUAAAUUACAACAUUGUUACAGCAUUUGAUUUAUAAAGUGAUUAAAUAAUGAAACGAAAACGCACACAAAACACACCACAGAGUACAUUAUGAUGACAUUGUGUAGGCUACAAUAUUACAACACCUAGAUUUAUAACAAACAUAAGAAUGAAGCAUACACUUCUAGGGGUUCUUCAUGACCAAACUGCUAAUAUAUUUACAUAGGCUACAUAUGAACAUAUUUAUACAAUAACCCGCAGGACUACGUGUGUGUCAUUAACCGUUCAGUCAGCUAAUCAGUAUCUGUCAGUAUCUGUCCGAGACAACUCAACUGUCUCCGUGCCACAGAUGUGUGUGUGACAGUAUGAUAGUCACUCAGUCAUCCUUUAGAAACGUUUUCAUAUUGUUCUGUAUAAAGAGAGUCAUUAACAUAUUGUUCUGUAUAAAGAGGGUAAUUAACAUAUUGUUCUGUAUAAAGAGGGUAAUUAAGACAAAAUAUCUGUAUAAAGAGGGUAAUUAACAUAUUGUUCUGUAUAAAGACGGUAAUUAACAUAUUGUUCUGUAUAAAGAGGGUAAUUAAAACAAAAUCUCUGUAUAAAGAGGGUAAUUAACAUAUUGUUGUGUAUAAAGAGGGUAAUUAACAUAUUGUUGUGUGUAAAGAGGGUAAUUGACAUAUUGUUCUCUAUGAAUGGUAAUUAACAUAUUGUUCCGUAUAAAUAAGGGUAAUUCACAUAUUUGUUUUAUGAAGUAUGUAAGUGACAUGAGUAACAUCAGAACAACAAUGCAGGAAUGCAACUCAUUUGAAUAUGUGUCUUACUAGACCUGUGGAUUUCAGUCAUCAUGUUGAGGGUUGAGUGUUGAUAGUUCUUCCUGUUCUAUGUUAUGGACUGUGGGAAUUUGGGCUAAAGACAGUUUUGGUAAGUUUGACAAUUAAUGUCAAAGUAAUACUGUAAUUUCUCUUUGUCAUCUGAACAGUAAAACCUACCUUCUCAUUUUAUUUCUCAGUUUGCACCACAGUACCACAGCAGCUCCACAGCACACAGCAAUGAAACACAGUGAACCCAUCACUGCAACAAUCCCUGUUGGCUUAACUGUGAAAGAUGACAAGAUGAGAAUGGUACAAUUCACAGAUAAGAGUCAGAGAUUAGUUGUGGUCAUUAUAUUAAUGCCUGACCACUGAUCCUGUCACCAUCAGUGACCUCAGGAAAUGAAGCUUGAGUUCUAGCUGGAAUAACCAUGGAAACGUUCUUGGUGACACCUCCAGAGAACAGUGACACCACACAGCCAACCCUGGUGUCUUUGUCAGGUAGUCUGAAUGCUGCCAGCGUGGAAGUUAUGAUGACAGUGACAGUACCAUUGAGAUGGGUGACAUUGAUCAUUGUGGAAUUUUCUAGAAUUUCUGUGUUGUCCCAGGUUACUAUAGGAACAGGUCGUCCAGUAGCAGAACAGGACAGAGUGGUGUGACUGUUGUUGGUUUGUGUGAUGAGGAGUGAGGGUCUAUACAGCUCUAUAGGAAAACAACAAACAGGUCACAGUCAAUGUAAAUACUAUAAUGUUUUCAAGCCCAUCACAUGGUCAAAUUGAUCUAUGAUGUUUGGAGGCCAUUGCUCCUGUGAUAAAUGGAUAUUACACAUUGUUCCUGUGUUAAAUGGAUAUUACACAUUGUUCCUGUGUUAAAGGGAUAUUACACAUUGUUCCUGUGUUAAAGGGAUAUUACACAUUGUUCCUGUGUUAAAG
rnacentral:lncRNA from 1 species